rnacentral:rRNA from 1 species
UGGGGAAUCUUUGGACAAUGGGGGCAACCCUGAUCCAGCCAUGCCGCGUGAGUGAUGAAGGCCUUAGGGUCGUAAAGCUCUUUCGCCUGUGAAGAUAAUGACGGUAGCAGGUAAAGAAACCCCGGCUAACUCCGUGCCAGCAGCCGCGGUAAUACGGAGGGGGUUAGCGUUGUUCGGAAUUACUGGGCGUAAAGCGCACGUAGGCGGACCAGAAAGUUGGGGGUGAAAUCCCGGGGGCUCAACCCCGGAACUGCCUCCAAAACUAUUGGUCUAGAGUUCGAGAGAGGUGAGUGGAAUUCCAAGUGUAGAGGUGAAAUUCGUAGAUAUUUGGAGGAACACCAGUGGCGAAGGCGGCUCACUGGCUCGAUACUGACGCUGAGGUGCGAAAGUGUGGGGAGCAAACAGGAUUAGAUACCCUGGUAGUCCACACCGUAAAACGAUGAAUGCCAGUCGUCGGGUAGCAUGCUAUUCGGUGACACACCUAA